rnacentral:rRNA from 1 species
AUUGAACGCUGGCGGCAGGCCUAACACAUGCAAGUCGAGCGGAUGAAGGGAGCUUGCUCCUGGAUUCAGCGGCGGACGGGUGAGUAAUGCCUAGGAAUCUGCCUGGUAGUGGGGGAUAACGUCCGGAAACGGGCGCUAAUACCGCAUACGUCCUGAGGGAGAAAGUGGGGGAUCUUCGGACCACACGCUAUCAGAUGAGCCUAGGUCGGAUUAGCUAGUUGGUGGGGUAAAGGCCUACCAAGGCGACGAUCCGUAACUGGUCUGAGAGGAUGAUCAGUCACACUGGAACUGAGACACGGUCCAGACUCCUACGGGAGGCAGCAGUAGGGAAUAUUGGACAAUGGGCGAAAGCCUGAUCCAGCCAUGCCGCGUGUGUGAAGAAGGUCUUCGGAUUGUAAAGCACUUUAAGUUGGGAGGAAGGGCAGUAAGUUAAUACCUUGCUGUUUUGACGUUACCAACAGAAUAAGCACCGGCUAACUUCGUG